UGGUGCAGAAUAAGGGGUGGGCAAGUCUGGUGUCAGCCGCCGCGGUAAUACCAGCACCCCGAGUGGUCGGGACGAUUAUUGGGCCUAAAGCAUCCGUAGCCGGUUCUGCAAGUCCUCCGUUAAAUCCAGCCGCUCAACGGAUGGGCCGCGGAGGAUACUAUAGGACUAGGAGGCGGGAGAGGCAAGCGGUACUCAGUGGGUAGGGGUAAAAUCCUUUGAUCCAUUGAAGACCACCAGUGGCGAAGGCGGCUUGCCAGAACGCGCUCGACGGUGAGGGAUGAAAGCUGGGGGAGCAAACCGGAUUAGAUACCCGGGUAGUCCCAGCUGUAAACGAUGCAGACUCGGUGAUGGGCUAGCCUUGUGCCAGCCCAGUGCCGCAGGGAAGCCGUUAAGUCUGCCGCCUGGGGAGUACGGUCGCAAGACCGAAACUUAAAG
rnacentral:rRNA from 1 species